rnacentral:lncRNA from 1 species
AUGAACACUAAUAAAGUCUUCCUUUCUAAUUUUUUUUACAUUGGAAGAUCUUAUGUUGGCUAUAGGUUCAACCAUACAAUUUUUAGAGUAGCUUAGGAUUCCCAUCCCGUCUGAUAAAGGAAGCUUACUAUUAACUAAAUCAGAAAUGAAAUUGACGGCUGCAAUACCGGCCCUAUAAAUCUGCUCACCAUCAAGAGGUGAAGACUCUGUAACAUGAUUCUGACUAUCAUCAGCCACACAAGCAUAUGCUACGGAGUUUGAUUUACUUGAAGGAAGUGAAGUAGACCUGACUUGUUGUACACUGCCAGAUUUAUCAACACUCUCGACCUUGUGAGAACUUGUUCCACUUGCCGGGGUUUCUGAAACUGAGGCUCCUUCUACUCGAGAUGUAGCGUUGGCUACUAUAGAGAGGUUGGCUUCUGUGCAAGUAAAUCUUGAUCCCUUUUCCUCUGUUGUCUUAUUGACGCACAUGUUUCGUCCUCGUUGCACGUGCAGGAAUUAGCAUCUGGUGCAUUACAUCGUGUACCACCAAGAAAAAAGCUCCUAGCACUACUAGAAAAG